UAGGGAAUAUUCGGCAAUGGACGAAAGUCUGACCGAGCAACGCCGCGUGAGUGAAGAAGGUUUUCGGAUCGUAAAACUCUGUUGUUAGAGAAGAACAAGGACGUUAGUAACUGAACGUCCCCUGACGGUAUCUAACCAGAAAGCCACGGCUAACUACGUGCCAGCAGCCGCGGUAAUACGUAGGUGGCAAGCGUUGUCCGGAUUUAUUGGGCGUAAAGCGAGCGCAGGCGGUUUCUUAAGUCUGAUGUGAAAGCCCCCGGCUCAACCGGGGAGGGUCAUUGGAAACUGGGAGACUUGAGUGCAGAAGAGGAGAGUGGAAUUCCAUGUGUAGCGGUGAAAUGCGUAGAUAUAUGGAGGAACACCAGUGGCGAAGGCGGCUCUCUGGUCUGUAACUGACGCUGAGGCUCGAAAGCGUGGGGAGCAAACAGG
rnacentral:rRNA from 1 species